rnacentral:rRNA from 1 species
GACGAACGCUGGCGGCGUGCCUAAUACAUGCAAGUUGAGCGCUGAAGGUUGGUACUUGUACCAACUGGAUGAGCAGCGAACGGGUGAGUAACGCGUGGGGAAUCUGCCUUUGAGCGGGGGACAACAUUUGGAAACGAAUGCUAAUACCGCAUAAAAACUUUAAACACAAGUUUUAAGUUUGAAAGAUGCAAUUGCAUCACUCAAAGAUGAUCCCGCGUUGUAUUAGCUAGUUGGUGAGGUAAAGGCUCACCAAGGCGAUGAUACAUAGCCGACCUGAGAGGGUGAUCGGCCACAUUGGGAAUGAGACACGGCCCAAACGCCUACGGGAGGCAGCAGUAGGGAAUCUUCGGCAAUGGACGAAAGUCUGACCGAGCAACGCCGCGUGAGUGAAGAAGGUUUUCGGAUCGUAAAACUCUGUUGGUAGAGAAGAACGUUGGUGAGAGUGGAAAGCUCAUCAAGUGACGGUAACUACCCAGAAAGGGACGGCUAACUACGUG